rnacentral:rRNA from 1 species
CGCCUGUUUAUCAAAAACAUGGCCUUGUAUAUAUGUAAGGUCUGGCCUGCCCACUGAUUAUUUGAAGGGCCGUGGUAUUUUAACCAUGCGAAGGUAGCAUAAUCAUUUGCCUUUUAAUUGAGGGCUGGAAUGAAGGGUCGUUCGAGGGAUUAACUGUCUCUAACCUUUAUUUGAAAUUAAUCUUUUAGUGAAAAAGCUAAACUAUACUUGAAGGACGAUAAGACCCUAUAGAUCUUUAUAGAAACAAAAUUAGAAAUUGGUUGUAAGUUCUUUUUACCCCUUCUAUUGAGUUGGGGCGACGCUAUAUGAAGAUAUAACAUUUAGUUUAUUUUAACACUUACAUGUGAUGACAAGAUCCUGGGAUGAGAAAAGGAGAUAGUUACCUUAGGGAUAACAGCGUAAUGGUUUUUGAAAGUUCAAAUUGACAAAACCGUUUACGACCUCGAUGUUGGUUCAGGGAUCCUAUUUAGCGCAGUAGCUUUAUAAGGGAGUCUGUUCGACUUUUAAAUCCCUACAUGAUCUGAGUUC